GACGAGCGCUGGCGGCGUGCUUAACACAUGCAAGUCGAACGGUAAGGCCCUUCGGGGUACACGAGUGGCGAACGGGUGAGUAACACGUGGGUGAUCUGCCCUGCACUUCGGGAUAAGCCUGGGAAACUGGGUCUAAUACCGGAUAGGACUCCUGGCUUCAUGGUUGGGGGUGGAAAGCUUUUGCGGUGUGGGAUGGGCCCGCGGCCUAUCAGCUUGUUGGUGGGGUAAUGGCCUACCAAGGCGACGACGGGUAGCCGGCCUGAGAGGGUGACCGGUCACACUGGGACUGAGAUACGGCCCAGACUCCUACGGGAGGCAGCAGUGGGGAAUAUCGCACAAUGGGCGCAAGCCUGAUGCAGCGACGCCGCGUGAGGGAUGACGGCCUUCGGGUUGUAAACCUCUUUCAGCUAUGACGAAGCGCAAGUGACGGUAGUAGCAGAAGAAGGACCGGCCAACUACGUGCCAGCAGCCGCCGUAAGAC
rnacentral:rRNA from 1 species